CAAUCUGAAUCAACAUGAGAAUUAACAGGUCCAGACAUGGGCAGGAUGACAGAUUGAUAGUUCUUUCUGAUUCUAUGGGGUGGUGGUGCAUGCCGUUCUAGUUGGUGGAGUGAUUUGUCUGGUAAAUUCGAUAACGAACGAGACUCAACUACUAAAUAGAUCCGCGACAUACACGUGUCACGGAAGCUUCUUAGAGGGACUGUGUGGUAAAACCUCAAGGAAGUUUGAGGCAAUAACAGGUCUGUGAUGCCCUUAGAUGUCCUGGGCUGCACGCGUGCUACACUGAUGCACUCAGCUAGUUCCUGCCCCGAAAGGCGGUAGGGAAUCUUCAAAAUGCAUCGUGAUUGGGAUAGAUCUUUGUAAUUAUAGAUCUUAAACGAGGAAUUCCUAGUAAGCGCAAGUCAUCAGCUUGCGUUGACUAAGUCCCUGCCCUUUGUACACACCGCCCGUCGCUCCUACCGAUUCCGAGUGAUUUAGUGAACCUUUUGGACUUGCCUCAAGCGAGAAAAUUAAGUAAACCAAAUCACUUAGAGGAAAGAGAAGUCGUAACAAGGUUUCCGUAGGUGAACCUGCAG
rnacentral:rRNA from 1 species